CCUACGGGGGGCAGCAGUGGGGAAUAUUGCACAAUGGGCGAAAGCCUGAUGCAGCGACGCCGCGUGAGGGAUGGAGGCCUUCGGGUUGUAAACCUCUUUCGCUCAUGGUCAAGCCGCAACAUUGGUUGUGGUGAGGGUAGUGGGUAAAGAAGCGCCGGCUAACUACGUGCCAGCAGCCGCGGUAAUACGUAGGGCGCGAGCGUUGUCCGGAAUUAUUGGGCGUAAAGGGCUUGUAGGCGGUUGGUCGCGUCUGCCGUGAAAUCCUCUGGCUUAACUGGGGGCGUGCGGUGGGUACGGGCUGACUUGAGUGCGGUAGGGGAGACUGGAACUCCUGGUGUAGCGGUGGAAUGCGCAGAUAUCAGGAAGAACACCGGUGGCGAAGGCGGGUCUCUGGGCCGUUACUGACGCUGAGGAGCGAAAGCGUGGGGAGCGAACAGGAU
rnacentral:rRNA from 1 species